rnacentral:rRNA from 1 species
CCCUACGGGAGGCAGCAGUGGGGGAUAUUGCACAAUGGGGGGAACCCUGAUGCAGCGACGCCGCGUGGGUGAAGGAGUGCUUCGGCAUGUAAAGCCCUAUCGGCAGGGAAGAAGCAAGACUGUACCUGACUAAGAAGCCCCGGCUAACUACGUGCCAGCAGCCGCGGUAAUACGGAGGAUGCGAGCGUUAUCCGGAUUUAUUGGGUUUAAAGGGUGCGUAGGCGGAUUUUUAAGUCAGCGGUAAAAUGUCCGGGCUCCACCCGGGCCGGCCGUUGAAACUGGGGAUCUUGAGUGGGCGAGAAGUA